GAUGAACGCUGGCGGCGUGCUUAACACAUGCAAGUCGAACGGAAAGGCCCUGCUUUUGUGGGGUGCUCGAGUGGCGAACGGGUGAGUAACACGUGAGUAACCUGCCCUUGACUUUGGGAUAACUUCAGGAAACUGGGGCUAAUAUCGGAUAGGAGCUCCUGCAGCAUGGUGGGGGUUGGAAAGUUUCGGCGGUUGGGGAUGGACUCGCGGCUUACCAGCUUGUUGGUGGGGUAGUGGCUUACCAAGGGUUUGACGGGUAGCCGGCCUGAGAGGGUGACCGGCCACAUUGGGACUGAGAUAGGGACCAGACUCCUACGGGAGGCAGCAGUGGGAAGUAUUGCACAAUGGGCGGAAGCCUGAUACAGCAGCGCCGCGUGCGGGAUGACGGCCUUCGGGUUAUGAACCGCUUUCGCCUGUGACGAAGCGUGAGUGACGGUAAUGGGUAAAGAAGCACCGGCUAACUACGUG
rnacentral:rRNA from 1 species